rnacentral:lncRNA from 1 species
AUGAAUCUUCGGAGGAACUGGAGGAGACUGACCCAGAGGAGGACGAACUCAGUGAAGAACUCGAUGAAAUCACUGAAGAUCUGGAUACUUUCAAAAUCCUUGAAAUUUGGGGUUUCUUCCUUGUUUUUAGGGGAGCAGGAUAAAAAAAUGGGUGAGUUUUCCCAUUUCUUGGGGCCCGGAUUUUGGGGAUGGAUUUUUUUCACCCCUCCCCCCCCCAAACACUUCAGCACAAAAAUCCUAAUUAUUUCAUUUCUUUUUUUUUUUUCCUUUAAGAGGAAAUCACUGAGGAGCUCGCAAAACGGAGCACACAGAUCGAUGAACUCACGGCAGAGUUGGGAGAACGUGAUGCCAAAAUCGAGGAACUUUCUGCAGAAAUCGAAAAACGCGAUCAAAAAAUUGGUGAGUAGCAAAAAUUUUAAUUUAUUCCCCCCUUAAUUUUAUUUUUUUCUACCCUUAAGUAUUUUUUCCACCAUUA